rnacentral:lncRNA from 1 species
AAAAAUAUCUCCUUCUCCCUUCUUCACCUUCUUCCCCGCCUCCUUCGCGAAAUACCUGUCAUCUAUCUUCUCCACAUUUACACCACUCACAUCAACUUUCGUCGACGUAGCAAUUACAUAAGCUUGAUUCACCCUUCUUAAUGGAACCCCAUUAACCUUAAAUGGUCCCGUAACAAGCAACAACCCAAACCCUACAAGUUGCUUCAAAAACACUACUCUUUUUCCCUUAAACCUCCCAGCAGGUACAAUCAACACUCAACACUGUUCCAGGUGCAUUACGUGCGCUAAGCUUAGUGUGUUUUGGAUUAUGUUUGUUAAUUAGGGGUUACCAUUACGCGAUCAUUUCAAUAAAUGCACACCGACAAUAUGCAUUAUUGACUUAAAAUUAAUAAAUUUCAUAAUGCGAAAACAAAAUCUAAGCAAGAAUAGAACAAACAAACCUCUUUCUUCUCUUCAAAAAUCUCUCCUUCUCCCUGCUUCACCUUCUUCUCCACUUGUUUCGCGAAAUACUUAUCAUCAAUUUUCUCCACACUAAUCCCACCUACAUCAACUUUCGUAGACGUCCAAAUUACAUAAGCCUGAUUAAUUCUUCUUAACGGGACCCCAUUGACCUUUAACGAUCCACUAACAAGUAACAACCCAGACCCAACAAGUUGCUUCAAAAACACUACUCUUUUUCCCUUGCUCUAAGCGUGGUGUCUUUUGGCUUAUGUUUGUUAAUUAGGGGUUAACAUUACGCGAUCAUUUCAAUAAAUGUAUAUCGACAAUACACAUUAUCAACGUAAAAUCAUAAAUUCCACAAUAAGGAAACAGAAUAUAAGCAUAAAAUGCACACACAAGCGCCUUUGUUCCCUUCAAAAAACUCACCUUCACCCUUCUUCACCUUCUUCUCCACUUGCUUCCCGAAAUACUUACCUAUUUUCUCCACAUUAACCACACUCACAUGAACCCAGACCCAACAAGUUGCUUCAAAAACCUCUUUUUCCCUUACUUGCUCUAAGCUUCGUUUGUUUUAGCUUGAGUUUGUUAAUUAGGGGUUAACAUUACGCGAUCAUUUCAAUAAUGCAAAUAAUAAAUUUCGUAAUGCAAAAACAAAAUCUAAGCAAGAAAUGACCAAACAAAUAAACAAACAAACCUCUUUCUUCUCUUCAAAAAACUCUCCUUCUCCCUUCUUCACCUUCUUCUCCACUUGCUUCGCGAAAUACUUAUCAUCAAUCUUCUCCACAUUAACCCCACUCACAUCAACUUUCGUCGAUGUAGCAAUUACAUAAGCCUGAUUAACUCUCCUCAAUGGAACCCCAUUAACCUUAAAUGGACCCGUAACAAGCAACAGUCCCGAACCAACAAGUUGCUUCAAAAACACUACUCUUUUUCCCUUAAACCUCCCAGCAAGGAUAAUCAACACUGUUCCAGGUGUGAUAGUUGAUCGGAGCUUCGUGGGUUUCGGCUUGUGUUUGUUGAUGAGAGGUUUUGCCACGUCAUCAGAUGGGUAGAACUUUGGGGGUUUUACAACGGCGGCGUUGACGGCGACGGCGGCUGAGGGUUUUUUAGGGUGGAUUGGGAGUUUGCCGCCGUUUUUCUUCUUGAUUGCCCAUAGGCCCUUUUUGUGGUACAUUUUUGAACGGGAGAAUUUUCCGAUGCCGUUGAUUAGGUUAGGGUUACGAGGGGAUUUCUUCGGCGCCGCCAUUGGAGGAGGAGGAGUGGGAAGUGAAAAACCCUAGAUUUGGGAAAUUGGGGUUUAAAGAAGGCAUUGGGGUUCUUUUGACUCUAAUUUAUGGAAAUGGAUAAUGGAUGUGAGGCCCAUAUGGAUUUGGGUUGGGCCUAAGGUGAUUUUCUUCAUGUUUGGGCUGGUCACAUAUAAUGAAUGGAGGGACAAACAACUUAAAUCUCGAAAGUUUGAAGCUUAAUUAUAGAAAAUCUUAAUAUUUUGCAUAAUUAAUGACAAUUUCGAAUUUGGGUUUAUCGAGAUACAUAAUUACCUCUCUAUGCAUCCAACGAAUAUACAUUUUUUUUCUUAGUAAAGAUACAUAAUUAGCUCUCUAUACAUUUUUUUUUCGAUUUUCGAUCUGUCGAGUUACAUAAUACAUACAAAGGAGAUACAUUUUUUUCUUUAUAAGGAUAUACAUAAUUAGCUUUCGAUAUUUUUUAAUUUUUUUUUUUUUAGAUUGGCAUUAUUGAAUCAAAAGCGAAUAGAAAGGAUCUCCCCCAAUUAAGAGUGUUUUUGCCACUGCCAACAACUCUAUAGUUUGACCAUGUGCUCAUGUUACUUAAUAAAACAAUAUGAAAUAAUGACCUGCAGUGGAAAUCAAAUGGAUUUAAUAUUUGCUUUUAAGAAAUCAAAUGGAACUCGAUUAGUUUCUGUACAUAACUUUUGAUCACCAAUGAAUUGAGUUUGAUAGCGUGAUAAAGAUUUCAUCUUUAAAUAGAAUUUAAAUGUUCAAGCUCUAAAAAUGAAUAAUUUUUAUAGUGCAAAUCUAAAUAUUGAAUUGAUCACACACAAAGUGAAUCUUUUUGGUACAAAUCUAAGUUGAGUAUAUCAGUAUGCCUAAACAUAGUUUAUUUUUAAAAAAUUCCAUUUAAUUAUCUGCUUUAAGAUGUACCAUAUUUCUAAAACUAACUUGUCAAAGCUUUGAUUUCAACUAUAAACAAUAAAGGAAAAUUUACAUAAAUCUAAUAUUUAAUACACCAUAUUACCUAAUAUCCCUUAAUAUUUUAAAAAUUACAUAAAAUUCCUAUUUGCAUAUUUUGGUGAUACAUAUGUUAUAACUUGCACACCCUAUUUUUUCUCCACUUUCCACUCCCAUCUCUCUCAUCCUUUUACGCAUCAUCCCCUUUGUUCCCACAAAUUACUCCUCUAAAAUCUCUCUCAUUUUAGUAGAUUAUGAGUCAACUUCAUUCUCUAAUAUUUCAACUGAUUUCAACCGUAAUCGUUCAUCCUUUAAUUUCAAAAAUUGACAACUUCUUCAAAGAGGUUAGCUUUUGGUUUAUGCUUUAAAAUACUUUUGUGUUAAUUUGUUUUAUGUUCAAUGGAUAAUGAAGAUUCACCCUCAUUCAGCUUGGGAUUUCACAAAUUGAAACUCCAAAAGCUGUUCAUUAUAGUAAUCAAGUCCUGAAUUUUACUUCGGGCAAUUUUGAUUACACCAAAUUAGGUUUUAGAAAAAAUCGACCAAAGCAGCAGAACAACCCUAAAUAAUUGAAGAUUUUAAGAGAAGCUUUAGCUGCUAAAAAUCAAGUUUCCGACAUGCAAAUGGAAGAUCAGGAUGAAAUUGAACAAAUCCCCAUCGGAUCAGGUAUUAUUUUCGCAACUAAUUCAUAAAUGGUGAUUCAUAUAACUGGUUCUUUUAACUAGUGAUUCAUAUGGGCGAUUCAUAUAAUUACAUAUUAACAGAUUAACUGGUUACUUGGUGAUUCAUAUUUUUUUUUAUGAUUCAUACGGGUGAUUCAUAUGGGUGAAAUACUAAAAUGAUAUUUUAAUUGGUGAUACAUAUAUUGUGCUGGUGAUUCAUGGAUAGUGAUUUAUUUGACUGAUUUUUUUAAUUGUAAUUAUUUGACGCAAUCAAGUAAUUGUUGGAAUGAUGAGGUAUGCCUCAGAGAAAUAUAUAUAUAGCAAUUAACCUUUUUAUUAUUUUUUAUUAUUUAAGCACAAGCUGAUUUUUACAACAUGAUCCAAAAAAUUUAAUGUUUGCAAUAUGAAUAUAGCUUUUCUGGUAGCAGAUGUAUCAUAGUGAUACAUCUGGGUCCCAUAUGUAUCACUGUAAUACAUAUGUUAUCUAACUUGAAUUUAAAUUGAAAAUUUAAUAAGGAAGCAUGGCUUAGUGUUAUUAUUUGAACAACUGAUUAUUAUUAUUUGUUGAUGAUUGAAGAAAAUGAAUGUUGAUGAUUUGUACUAGCGAACCCCGACUAAUCUGGUUGAAGUAUAAAUUUCAUCAGAUAACAUUGUGAUCUUUAUUCCUUUGGCCGUGAUGAUUGUGUUUGGUUAUUCUUGCACAAGAUUUGAUCUUCAUAUCCAAUGCUUAAAACUUUUGAACUGCAUCCUGCUGCAUUUUUUUAUGAGCAAGAUUUAAUUUCUAUGUUGCAUCCUAUUAUAAGCGAUGUGCAACUCGAUACAUUUGUUGUGGAUUUAGCGUGUCUCUACGUUUCAUGUGAAGUUGUGAUUACUAUAUCUGUCUUUAUAGUAAUUAAUAUUUCAAGUCUUGUGUAUGCCUUAUAUGAAUCACCUGUUCUUACGCAUCUUAGUUUUAUAUAAGAGCAUAUUGAUGUGGUAUUCUACUAUCUUAGAAAGAAAGCAAAACUGGAUACAACCAGUGAAUAUAGAUAUACCAUUGUGAAUUGCGUGUUCAUGAACUACAUCCAUGAUACAUACACUCAUUAUCACCGAAGUCAUUCCGAGAUUGAUCUUAGCUCGCAUGACAAAAACGUUAGCUCAAUGAAAGUGGUUUCAGUGGAGAGAUCAAUUUGUGAGAUUAUGCAAGGACUAUGCAUUCCAGCUGGUAUUCCAUGAUAUUUGAUUGACAAGGUGUAUGUGCCAAUAAAUUGUAAAAGAUCGUUUCACUAGGUGUUGGUAGUCGUAGUACUCAAGAAAAGAUGCAUUCGUAUGUACGACUCGUUGAAAGGUCAUAGUGGUCAUGCUGAUGAGAUAAAGUAGCUUGCUGAAAUAUUGUCAACUUAUUUGACAAUAUCUGAUUUUUUUGAGAAAAAAAAUUGCACAGACUGCUCACUUCUAGAUGUAUACAAGAAAAAGACGGACCAGCAUGCAUUCGAUGUUCACAUUGUUGAUGGAAUUGUGCAACAAUCAAGCGAUACGUUGUAAGUAUCAUUUAUUCUUUUGAAUAUAUUAUUUUAAGUAAGAGCUCACGACAACACAUAAAAUACUUACUUUUCUAUUUUUCAGGAAUUAUGGCUUAUUUGUUGCAGGAUAUGUUGAAUUUUUAAGUGACCGGCAUCAAAUACCAUCUUCAGAGUUUGAUCCGAAAAAGCAUCGUACAAGAUACUUAUCCUUGUUAUGGGACUAUUGUGUGCACAAGGCAUGCACUGAAUAUGUUUGUGACAACCAGGAUCUGCCUAGGCCUAAACACACCUUCAUUCGAUCUGAGGAUACAAAGAUGAUUGAUGUUGACCCGUAGUUGUCUAGCAUUUAUUGUGUGACAAAAGGAUAUUGAUUUCUUAUGUUUGUGGAAUUCUGGUUUUUCAAUUUUCCUAUGUUUGGGAAUUUCUGAAUAUAUCAUGACAACGUGGUUUUUGGUAUAGAUUUUAUCUUAGAAGCAGAUCUGGUCUUAGUACUUUUGUGGGCAGUUUAACUUACAUAAUCUAUCACUAAUUUUUAAUUUUAUCUAUUGAUAUGUAGCAUCAUUAUUUUGUUAACAAUCACAAGUGAUCUAAUAUGUAUCACCAAAUACCAUAUGAAUCACCAUUUAUAUUACUAACCAAUUUUUAUAUGAAUCACCAAAUACAACUUAAUAUGUUAAGUUGUAUUCUGUUAUCACCAUUUAUAUUCUGUAAUCAUAUGAAUCUCCACUUUCAUGAAUAACCAGUUAAAUAAAUCACUAAUUAUAUGAAUCUUCAUUUUUUAAAUGAUUAAAAUGAAUCACCAGUUAAAAAUGAUUAAACCUGAAUAAACUGUAACCAACACGCUGAAAAUGGAUCACCAUGUUAAUUUUAAUUUCUAAUGUGAAUCAAUUAAUUUUACACGAAUGGUUUAUAUGAAUCACAUAACAGUAUUAAGUUUUUUAAUAUGUAUCACCAAAUACUAUAUGAAUCACCAUUUAUAUUAUUAACUAGUUUUUAUAUGAAUCACCAAAUACAACUUAAUAUGUUAAGUUGUAUUUUGUUAUCGCCAUUUAUAUUCUGUAAUCAUAUGAAUCUCCAGUUUCAUGAAUAACCAGUUACAUAAAUCACCAUUUUUUAAAUGGUUAAAAUGAAUCACCAGCUAAAAAUGAUUAAAAUUGAAUAAACUGUAACCAAUAUGUUGAAAAUGAAUCACCAAUUAACAUGUUAAUUUUAAUUUAUAAUAUGAAUCAACUAAUUUUACACAAAUGGUUUAUAUGAAUCACAUAACAAUAUUAAGUUUUUUAAUAUGUAUCAAUUAAAAAUAAUAUGAUUAAAAUGUGUCACCAAUUAACCUGUUGAGAUUAAAUAGUAAUAUGUAUCACUUUAUAAUUUCGUUUAGGAAAUGUAUCAGUAGCAUUCCUCAUGAACUCCAACAUAUCUGCAUAAGAUAAUAAUACUAAUGAAUUAUAAACAAUGAUUUUAAAAAUACAUAUCUCUUUCAAUUGUAAAUAGAAUAUAUCAAGCAAGGAACUUUUGAGUAAUCAACUCAAAUUAUUGAAUUCAAAACUUUGAACUAAGUAAACAUGUCUAAUUAAACUUUAAAGAGAAAAUGUCACAUCUUUGUUGGAAAGUAGUUGCAAGUACGUCUGUUUUGUUGGAAAGUAGUUGCAAAUACGUCUGUUGUAACCUUCAUACCCACACUUGCCACAACGAUUUGAUGGUGAUAAAAACUUUUCACUACUUUUAUUUUUUCUACCUUUUGUAGGUCUUCCUGGCGGGCGUUUAUAUUUUGGAGGCAAAAUCACAUCUUCUAACACCUCCGGUGGUACAUGUCAAUCUCGUUUAUCGAGCAUUAAACAAAGCGGUAUUUCAUAAGUUUUCACCAGUGCCUCCUUCUUAUAGUAAUCUGAGGAGUAUGGCUUCAUUUCAUUUACAUGUUUGCUUUUCAAAACAAUAAUAGCGUGCGCGCAUGGUAUCUCAUCAAGCUGAAAUCUGCCACAGUUGCAAGUUCUAUUAUCCAACCGAAUAAUGCAUUUUCUUCCUUCUUCAUACACACCAUAUAUGUAGUUAGUUGAUUCCCUAAUCUGAAAAUAUUAUUCCAAAUUUUUUUAUGUAAGUCAACAUAAUAUAUUAACUAUAAAGACCUAGAUUAAUUAAAUAUAAAGAACAAAAAUUCAACAGGAGGCAUAUUUCAACAGAUGUAUCAAAAUGAUACAUAUGACUCCCAGAUGUAUCAUCUAUUAUCAGAAUGUUAAAAAAAAUCUGCAAAUCAACUUAGUUAAAGUAUAAUGAUUAUUAUUUUAACUUACCAUUAUACGCGAUGACUUUGCCUCGUUCAAUGGAAGAAUUUGUUGAAACCGACCUAUAAAUGUUUCAGUACCAAGCUUACAGGAGGACUUGAAUACCCAACUACAUUCCGGUGAUUUGCACAACAAUACAUAACUAAAAUAUACGUCAAAAUAAUAUAUCGCCAAUAUGAAGUUACGUUAAUCUGUUUAUAUAUGAAUCACCAUAUACCAUAUGAAUCACAAAUUCAAUAAAAAAAAUGAACCAAUUAACCAAUGAAUAAACAAUUAAUAUGUAUCACAAAUCUGAACUUAAUCAGUUAUUCUUUUUUAUUAUAGGACUCGCCAGUUAUAUGAAUCACCAGACAUAUGAAAAAAAUGUAACUGUAUCUUUAUUGUUGUAGGUGUCGUCUGCUUCUGAUGUAUGUGCAUAUUUCAUCUAAUGCAAUUUUUUUUACGACAUAUCAAAACAGAGAAUGGAGCAUC